UUGAGUCCUUCCAUUAGAUCC
rnacentral:miRNA from 2 species